rnacentral:misc_RNA from 1 species
AAGUCGUAACAAGGUUUCCGUAGGUGAACCUGCGGAAGGAUCAUUACAGUAUGAAUAGAAGGUUCUUGCUGCUGGCCUUACACCAAGGCAUGUGCGCACCUUCACAUUUCUAAUCCACAUACACCUGUGAACCUUAGACGUAGAUUGGACUCCCAGCUUCUAUUUGGAGCUGCGAGCGGUUUCUAGGAGGUUUUCCUUCAAGAGACUGAGUCUGACUCGUCUACUUUAACAUAUACCCCUAAACAAGUUUUAAACGCAUGUCUUUUUAAUGGGCUCUAUGGAGCUUAUAAACAUUAAUACAACUUUCAACAACGGAUCUCUUGGCUUCCA